AUUGAACGCUGGCGGCCUGCCUAACACAUGCAAGUCGAACGGCAGCAUACCUUGUGGCAACACAAGGUGAUGGCGAGUGGCGGACGGGUGAGUAAUACGUAGGAAUUUUCCCUAAAGUGGGGGAUAACCUCGCGAAAGCGAGGCUAAUACCGCAUGGUUUUUGUGAUUUAUCAUAAAGUAAAGCAGGGGACCGUAAGGCCUUGUGCUUUAGGAUAAGCCUACGUCCGAUUAGCUAGUUGGUAGGGUAAGGGGCUACCAAGGCAACAAUCGGUAGCUGGUCUGAGAGGACGGCCAGCCACACUGGAACUGAGACACGGUCCAGACUCCUACGGGAGGCAGCAGUGGGGAAUAUUGGACAAUGGGCGCAAGCCUGAUCCAGCAAUGCCGCGUGUGUGAAGAAGGCCUGCGGGUUGUAAAGCACUUUCGGUAAGGAAGAAAUGCUUGAAGUUAACACCUUCAAGAGUUGACGUUACUUACAUAAGAAGCACCGGCUAACUCUGUGCCAGCAGCCGCCGUAAUAC
rnacentral:rRNA from 1 species